AAUCCACCUGCGGCCUGCGGUGGGGGCGUGGCUGGCGAGGGGCGGGUCCUCGCGACGGAAGGCGGAAGUGCUGUAGAGUCAUGUGACUCGAGUAACAUGGCCGCUGUCUCGUGAGUCCCGCUAGUGCCGGGCGGGAGUUGUUAAGCGGCCAGGGUCAGGUGUGCUGGAGCGGGGUCCGGGCCCGGGUUCCAGGGCGAGGCGGCGGAGCGUGGCAGGCAAGCCUAGAGCGGCGUGGUCCAUGCGCCGGCGCCGGGGGCAGAGCGGAGCCGCAGACUCCCCUGGCCCCGGCGCGGCCCCGGCAGCCGCGGGCUAAGGAGUCGCGAGGCUCCCCCAGCUGCCACCAUGAACCCCGAGAAGGAUUUCGCGCCGCUCACGCCUAACAUCGUGCGCGCUCUCAAUGACAAGCUGUACGAAAAGCGGAAGGUGGCAGCGCUGGAGAUCGAGAAGCUGGUCCGGGAGUUCGUGGCCCAGAACAAUACCGUGCAAAUCAAGCAUGUGAUCCAGACCCUGUCCCAGGAGUUUGCCCUGUCUCAGCACCCCCACAGCCGGAAAGGGGGCCUCAUCGGCCUGGCCGCCUGCUCCAUCGCACUGGGCAAGGACUCAGGGCUCUACCUGAAGGAGCUGAUCGAGCCAGUGCUGACCUGCUUCAAUGAUGCAGACAGCAGGCUGCGCUACUAUGCCUGCGAGGCCCUCUACAACAUCGUCAAGGUGGCCCGGGGCGCUGUGCUGCCCCACUUCAACGUGCUCUUUGACGGGCUGAGCAAGCUGGCGGCCGACCCAGACCCCAAUGUGAAAAGCGGAUCUGAGCUCCUAGACCGCCUUUUAAAGGACAUUGUGACUGAGAGCAACAAGUUUGACCUGGUGAGCUUCAUCCCCUUGUUGCGAGAGAGGAUUUACUCCAACAACCAGUAUGCCCGGCAGUUCAUCAUCUCCUGGAUCCUGGUUCUGGAGUCGGUGCCAGACAUUAACCUGCUGGAUUACCUGCCGGAGAUCCUGGAUGGACUCUUCCAGAUCCUGGGCGACAAUGGCAAAGAGAUUCGCAAAAUGUGUGAGGUUGUUCUUGGAGAAUUCUUAAAAGAAAUUAAGAAGAACCCCUCCAGUGUGAAGUUUGCUGAGAUGGCCAACAUCCUGGUGAUCCACUGCCAGACCACGGAUGACCUCAUCCAGCUGACAGCCAUGUGCUGGAUGCGGGAGUUCAUCCAGCUGGCGGGCCGCGUCAUGCUGCCUUACUCCUCCGGGAUCCUGACUGCUGUCUUGCCCUGCCUGGCCUACGAUGACCGCAAGAAAAGCAUCAAAGAAGUGGCCAACGUGUGCAACCAGAGCCUGAUGAAGCUGGUCACCCCCGAGGACGACGAGCCGGAUGAGCUGAGACCUGGGCAGAGGCAGGCAGAGCCCACCCCUGACGAUGCCCUGCCAAAGCAGGAGGGCACAGCCAGUGGAGGUCCAGAUGGUUCCUGUGACUCCAGCUUCAGUAGCGGCAUCAGUGUCUUCACUGCAGCCAGCACUGAAAGAGCCCCAGUGACCCUUCACCUCGACGGGAUCGUGCAGGUCCUAAACUGCCACCUCAGUGACACGGCCAUUGGGAUGAUGACCAGGAUUGCAGUUCUCAAGUGGCUCUACCACCUCUACAUCAAAACUCCUCGGAAGAUGUUCCGGCACACGGACAGCCUCUUUCCCAUCCUACUGCAGACGUUAUCGGAUGAAUCGGAUGAGGUGAUCCUGAAGGACCUGGAGGUGCUGGCAGAAAUCGCUUCCUCCCCCGCAGGCCAGACGGAUGACCCAGGCCCCCUCGAUGGCCCUGACCUCCAGGCCAGCCACUCAGAGCUCCAGGUGCCCACCCCUGGCAGAGCCGGCCUACUGAACACCUCCGGUACCAAAGGCUUAGAAUGUUCUCCUUCCACUCCCACCAUGAAUUCUUACUUUUAUAAGUUCAUGAUCAACCUUCUCAAGAGAUUCAGCAGCGAACGGAAGCUCCUGGAGGUCAGAGGCCCUUUCAUCAUCAGGCAGCUGUGCCUCCUGCUGAAUGCGGAGAACAUCUUCCACUCGAUGGCAGACAUCCUGCUGCGGGAGGAGGACCUCAAGUUCGCCUCGACCAUGGUCCACGCCCUCAACACCAUCCUGCUGACCUCCACAGAGCUCUUCCAGCUAAGGAACCAGCUGAAGGACCUGAAGACCCUGGUAGGCUGCGUCCGGGACUCCAUCCUCAGGCGUCUCCUGCAUGCCAGGGGGCACACCCUGUGUGAGCCCGCCCCUCGGCUGGCCCCAGGAGGCUCUCAGGGAGAAGAUGGGGUUGAAAUCGAGACUUCCCCUGGUCCACUGGGAAAUAGGGAUCCCGGGAGAGCCAGAACCUGUUCUGCUGCCUGUACCGCUCCUGGUGCCACAACCCAGUCACCACGGUGUCCCUCUGCUUCCUCACCCAGAACUACCGGCACGCCUAUGACCUCAUCCAGAAGUUUGGGGACCUGGAGGUCACCGUGGACUUCCUCGCAGAGGUGGACAAGCUGGUGCAGCUGAUUGAGUGCCCCAUCUUCACGUAUCUGCGCCUGCAGCUGCUGGACGUGAAGAACAACCCCUACCUGAUCAAGGCCCUCUACGGCCUGCUCAUGCUCCUGCCGCAGAGCAGCGCCUUCCAGCUGCUCUCGCACCGGCUCCAGUGCGUGCCCAACCCUGAGCUGCUGCAGACCGAGUCGCCAUGGAAACCAGCAGAGCCACUGAGAAGAUUUACGCUGAAUGGAGCGCGCCCAGCUUGCAUCAGAUGCCCUGUGUGUCUAGAAUUCCCUCCCAGGCUGUUAGAGCCACUCAGCAGGCCUGGCGCCUUGCUCCAGCAAAGGGCCUCGGGUGCUCACCUUUGCGAUGGACACAGGCAGCCUUGAGACAGGCCUGCCCGGAGGCCCUGUGCCCUCCACACCGCUGGCAUCGGCUCCCACUGCCCCUCCCACCCAGACUGGCCCUCGGGUGGCUGAGUGUGGGGCACCUGAUAGGCUCUCUGCCCCAGGCCAGCUGGAGAGGCUGAACCCCUAGAAAGUGUGGCCCCAACCAAGACAGGCUCGUGCCUUCCCUGCCCCAUUUCCCCAGAAGGCAGUGCCCUGCAGUGGCAGGACUAGGCCUUGAGCCGGUUGCCACCCCAGCUGCUCAGAGUGCUGCCAGGUGGUCCCCAGAAGACAGCACCUGAUGCAGUGUCCCCAGGGGAGCAGGGUCAGCCAUGGAGCGGGGGCGCAUGUGUGGGUUCCUGGGGCCGGAGUGCUGUCAGCUCCCGAGAGACUCCGAGAGAGGCCUAGAAGCCACCCCGGGCCUUGCUGGCCCAGCCUUUGCCUUGGCCCUUCAACGCCCCAUAGUGUUAGGGUCAACCUGGCAGGCACCCAGGAGGGGAAGGUGCAGCCGGAAGCAGGGAGGAGGCAGGAAGGGCUGCUUCCCUGUGACCUCCAGUCUCCCUGUGGGAACCAGCCUGCCUUCCUGGGAGUCCUCCUGGCCAGGGAGCCAGCCCAGCCUCUCCCGGGGCUCCGAGUGCUGAUCUCCUCGUCUUCGGAGGGGAGCAGAGGCUCAGAGCAGUCAGACUCCUCAAACCAGGGUAGAACAAGUUUGCAGAGGGAAGCUGGGAAAAUGAGGCUUUCCUCAGAAUCUCCCACGGUCAGUCAGGGAAGUCUUGAGCCAAGGGGUUGAGGCCUCUGGGUAGAAGAUUCUGAGGGUCAGUGGAUGCUUUGCAGGCCUAGAGUAGGAUCUGGUGUGAGCUCUGCCAUGGAUUUGCUAUGUGACCUCCAGCAAGCCCAGUGCCCUCUCUGGGUUCUUGGUUACUUGGUCAGUAAAUACACAUUUGGACUAAAUGGGUGUGUGAGGCACCCCCUAGCCUUCAAUGCCCUGGACCCCCAGCCUUACUUUGCAACGACCUAGGAAGAGAUACCAUAGAUAGGGGCACAGAAGCAGUGGGCAUGCCAGGGGACUUCAGAACAGCUGGGGGAGGGGUCAGAUUGCAGGGUGGGGCCCAGAGGACGGCUCACACCCUGGGAAGGGAGCUGAGGACAGUCCCAGCCCUGGGAGGGGCAGACAGCUGGCAGACAGUGUCGAGUUGCGGGGCAGGCCUUGGAGCUGGGAACAGCUGGGAGAGUUUUGUACACUCCUCGCCCAUCCCUGGUUCUGUGUGCUCCAAGUGCCAUCAAGGCCCUGGGGACCUCAGCUCCCCCACCCCCUGGCUUCUGGGCCACUCCCCAGGGACUGUCUCCUCAGUAAGGCAGGAGGGAACCUCUAAGAAAAAGCUGGCAACAGGUGCAUGGGUGGGAUGGCAAGAGUGAGAGCCGGCCCUGAGUCCUGGACUCGCCACACUGUGCUGUGGGCUGGCUGGCCUCAGCCUCGGUGCCCGAGGGUGGUUAUGGACCUACAGAAGAUGUGCAGGGCCUGAGAGCAGCCAUCUGCAUUAGGUGGGACAGGGAGAGCGGGCCUGGCCUCUGUGCUCAGCAGCCCAGGCAGUGUCACCCACCCCUGGUGACACAGCCCGCCCUGCUCCCAAGAUCUCAGGCCAGGAAGGGUCUGCCCAUCACAGGGAGCAGGACUUCUUGCCACCCUAAGGGCCCAGGGAGCAGAUGUGGCCCACUCUUCCCACCCCCACCAACCCUGCCACACCGACGCCAUCUUCCCGGGUUUGCCAUCCAGUGCUGAAAGCAUCUCUCUAAAGGCCCCUAAGCUCCCCUAACCUAAGGCCUUGGCUUGCCAGGAGUGUCAUGGGGAGCAACGCACAGACCUGUGGGUGCCCAGCACCAGAAGACACACUUUAGGGUCACACCUGUGGCCUUGGCCUAAGUGGGUUAGAGGAGCGCCUGGCCACACCCUGGACUUAGGGCUGCAAGUUCCGGGGUGGCCCUUGGCCUCCUUAGAAGUCCAAGCUGCUCUCUUGGAGCAGUGGCACCUGGUUCCCAAGGUUACUAUGCCUGGGAGGUCCCUUCCCAGUAGCAACCACAGCCUAGAACACUGCCCACAGCCUGGCCCUCUAGAAUGGGCCCCGCCCAGCUGCUUUUGAUCUUUGUUGAACUAAAGUCAGCUGAGCCCCGCUAGGGAGGCAGGAGCGCCAGGCCCAGAAAAGCAGCAGCCGCAGCCGUAGACAUGUCCAAGAUGUUUUCUGGUGGUGCAUCUUCAGCAGGGAGGCAGGAAGGGAACAGGUGUGGGCAGGCAGAGCUGAGCAGGGGUGCAGGAGGCCGCCUCCGGGCCCCAGAUGGCAUCUCAACUGUGGGAAGAGUCCCCCUGCCCCGGUCCUGCCCAGCAGGCUGGUGGGCCACCUGAAGCAACUGUCAGGCUCUGGCCGUUGACUCUUCCUGCUGGACUGAACUCAUGGCCAAGAGUUCGUUUUGGGGGAGCUCCAUUUUGUCUCCCCCAAAAUGGCCUCCUUUAUUUCCACCCUCAAGCUGCUGGGCCCCGGCUGGCCUCACGUUGGAGGGGCAGAACUGUAGCCACAGUGGCACCUGCCAGGUACCUAAGCUGGGGCUGGAUACCAGGUGAAGCUCUUACACAUCGUGUCAAGGCAUCUUGGCAGCCACCCCAGGGCCGCUCCUUAGGUAGCCCUCGCUUUGCAGAUGAGGAAACAGUCACGUGCUCAAGUCACACCGCUAGGAAGCGGUGGAGUUAUGGUUGGGUCCAGGUCUGUCUAGAUCCUGUGCUCUGCCACUGCCUGCACCCCCCUUCCCGGCCCUGCCGAUUGGCAUCUUUUCAUAAACUUGAAGGGCCCCAAGACUCUCUGCUUAGCUGAGCAGCCCACAGUCUUCCUGAGACCCCUUCCCAGGGCCACCAGGCCUCAGGGCCUGGAAACAGAUACUUCCUAGCCCACAUGGAUCUGCUCCUCCAAACCAGUGAGGCCAAAGGGAGGGAGCAGAACAUUUCAUGAGACACUGCUGGAGGGUGAGUAGGAACAGGACAGGAGCCCAAGGGGAUCUCAUCCCCAGGGGCAAGCUAAGCACUGGGCUUGACAGGGACAGCAAGGCUACCGCAUUGCACCAUUAUAGGGAGCAUCAUGCACACUAGCUGUGCAGUGCACAACCUGUGUUGCUGUACAGAGCAACUGGAGAGGGUGGCAGCAACAGGAAUGUAGGAGCUGUAGGCAUGUCCAGUGGUGAGACCGGCAUUCCUCCUCCCAGGGACAGUGAGUGACUGCAGGCCUUGGGGCCCCAACACUCAAAAACAAAUGUCCUGCCAAGUGGAGGGCCCGGCAGAGGCUCUUCAGCAAUUCCCAUUUCCCCAGUCCUAGCCCUGCCUCUCAGAGAAAGGGCCAAGCUGCCACCUCCCCCUUCUCCCCAGACCCUGUUCCAGGCCCCAGCUGGCUUCCUGGCUGGCUGCUAGCCCUGGCUUUCACCCCAAAGGGAGCCACUCGUAAACAGGAAAUGCUUCCCAAUGCGAUGCCUGCUCUGGGCGCCAUCGCCAGCCCACAGGCCGAGGGCAAUAGCCAAGCAGCAGUGUUAGCUGUUCCCACCAACUGCGGAAGAGGGGGAUGCUCAGGGGCUUCCCAGCUCUGGGGCCGGCCAUGAGGGAAGAGUUGCCAGGCCUGAGACAGACGCCCAGAGGCCGAGCCCACCAGCCUGUGGCUCUGCCUCUGACCCCACUGCCCUCCAGCAGUAACCCCCCUGUGAGCUGAUCCCUGACACUGAGCAUUUCUGCUCCCUCUUCCCAGAGACAGUCUAAAGGCAGCCCCCAAGUCCCAGAGAGCUGACUCCCCUAGCAUCGACUACGCAGAGCUGCUGCAGCACUUUGAGAAGGUCCAGAACAAGCACCUGGAAGUGCGGCACCAGCGGAGCGGGCGUGGGGACCACCUGGACCGGAGGGUUGUCCUCUGACAGGCCUGGCACGGAGGAGGGCCCACCGAGUGGUCCUAUGAAACACUCAGGGUCGUCACGCCCUCCCGAGGAGCUCAAGGACCUGCCUGUCAGGACCAGGGCUGGGCCUGCCAACCCAGGGCAGUGUUGGGGCCGGAGGCUGCUGUGUCUGCCCAAGCUCCUCUGAGAGUCCAGUCCCCAGGCCUCCAGCGCUGUCAGCUGCACCCUGGCAUUCACACAGAGCUGGCUGCCCACCCAGUGGGGGGCUAUAGCCUCAGAGACCACUCAUCCUCUGGAAUCAACCUCUUUCUAAUACCCUCUUGGAAAAAGAGCUUGCCCCUCCUCCAGCACACUAGAGCUCUGGCCUUGUGUGUAUAUGUAUACAUACGUGAACACAUGCCUAUGUGUGUGUGUGUGUACUUGUAUGCACGUAGGCACCAGCACAAAGAUCUGAAUGAUGCACCCCACCCCCACCCCAAUAAAGAAAUAACAGAAAACCCUCAA